CUUGCUUAAUUAGGGCAUUAGCCUGCUAAUUCUAUUUAAUAAAAAUAGAUGAUAGAUUUGGCUCUGCACCUGACAAAGAGGGCACAAAGAGGGUUCUUUCCAUCGGUGUAGGAUCAAAAGGAUCCUUUCCAAACAGGGAUAUUCCAUGAUUCUAUGAUUCAGAAGAGACUUUGCUCCAUUCUAAGACCCAUUUCCCAUGGGUCAGUAAACGGGGGGAAGGAAGAGGACUGCUCCCAUAUACCACCACCACCUUCCUGCCCUGUUCCCAGCAGGAUGAACCUGAACCAGCCCUGUAGGUCCUCACCCUGCCAGACCCCUGCAACUUGUGACACCGCAGCAAAUGAACGCGACGGAUGAUUACAGAUUGCUGAAGGGCAAUUUUAAUUAUCUCCAGUAAUGUAUUGGCAUUGCAUUAGGAGAGCUGAACAACCUCCCUUCCAUCCAGGUUCCACCGCUACCGAUACAAGAAAGGCUCAGACCACUGAGACCACUCACCCCAGGCUUACAAACAGACACUUGUUUGUCCAAGCCAAGAAAUCAUUCCUUUCCCCAUUAGCUAGAAAGCAUGCUGCCCUCAGCAGGGGCCAGAGUAUAUUAAGCAUAGCUCACGUGCCAGGAUGAGGACAUUUGCUAGAAACAGUUGAAUAUCAUCAAGAUCUCGGAUGUCUAAUGGGGUUCCUUCACUUUGCUGGGCACACUGGGGUCAUGGGUGAGCUUGGUUGUGGGGACUUACAAAGAUUGCUCAAGAAACAGAGCUGAGAACCAGUGGAAGACUUAAGUACAUGCUCUCAAUGGCAUGAACUCUCUUUUCAUUUCAUUUUCAGUGUUACACAAGAGGUUGUUCUGAAUGGCAGAUGAAUUCCUACGGUCCCUGCCUACAGGUAGAAAACCAACAUUGCCCAACUUCACAGUCAGACCGGGUCACCUUUCCAAGAAGCUACGCACAUGUGAAGUAAGAUAUUAUUAUGUGCAGUUUGAGAUGUAUUCAGUCUCCAUGUAAUAGUAGGAAAGCCAGUGAAACAACAUCACUUUUGGAAGUAAUUAAUCCCAAAGGAUGCAGCCAACAAAACACCACCCAGCCCAUGGGUUUUGCUCUUCCACCUCAGAAUCAUAAAAUCAUCAAGGUUGAAAAAGACCUCCAAGAUCAAGUCCAACUGCCAACCCCACCACGGCCACUCGCAGAAUCACGAGGGUUGGAAAAGACCUCCGAGACCCCCAGAGUCCAACCCCAACCCAUCCCAUCCCUCUACCCACGUCCCCAAGUGCCACAUCUCCACAUUUCCUUUGCACUUUCAGGGAUGCUGACUCCACUGGGCAGCUUGUGCCAAUGCCUGACCACGCUUUCAGAGAAGAGAUUUUUCCAACCUGCAACAGGCUAGAAGGAAGGAAGGGCAAACAGCGUGCCAAAUGACCACAUUCACUUCAAGCACUUGAAAACUUGCACUGUGAAGACAACUCCUUCCACGCCAAAGCAGCAGGCAGCUUCCUAAAGCUGGUUGCAACCCAAGGAGACAGGAUGCUGGGGCUGUGCCAAGCCCAAACAAACAAGAUUGCAGGGGGUUGCUUAGAAACCUCUGAAAAAGACACCGAAAAUGCAGAUUUUGGUGAAGAGCACCGCAGUGUAGCUUGAUUCGCAGGUCACCUUUGAGCCUGAGCACUCCGAGAUUCUCACAGGUUGAGCCAGCAUGGCUUUCCAGAUGCCCCCAAAUCCCUCAGCAUUUCAAUAACAGACAGUGACACACGGGAGGAAGGCGCUGAGAAGAAAAAGAACGGAGUUACUGUAACGCGCGCAGCCCUGGCAGCUAAUCAAGGAGACAGAUGAAGGCAGCAAUCUGUCUCCUUAAGAUAUGCAUUUAAUUUUUUAUUUCUUAUUGCUGCAUAACUGUGCUGGAAGAUGCUCGUGAAAUGGCUGCGGCGCGAAGGGGCUGCGCCGGGAGAGUCCCUCUGCAAUCACGAGGGAGGCAAUGAGGAAAGUCAUCGUUAGCAGCGCUUAAUUGCCAGUAGCCAGCACGCUCCUUUGCGUUCAUUAUUAACUUUCUAACGUACCUGUGCACCAGGAUCACCAAGCAGGCUUUGCUCCAAGCUCUGCUGCAGCUGCCAUUGAGGGAUGUCACCUCCCCACGCGUGGCCCCCAGCGACGCCCAAGGUUACCUCCUGCAUUAUGUCAGAAUGAUUGGGCUUAGGUAAAAAGAUGGAGAGUGACUCUUUAUGCGCUCUGACAGUAGUAGGACACGGGGAAUGGUUUUAAGCUAAAAGAGGGGAAAUUUAGGUCAGGUGUUCGGAGGAAAUUCUUAACCAUGAGUGCGGUGAGGCACUGGAAUAGGCUGCCUGGAGAAGCUGUGUGUGCUCCAUCCCUGGAGGUGCUCAACACCGGACUGGAUGGGGUUUGGGCACUUUGGAAAAUGGGAGCUGCUCCUUCCCACGGGGUUGGAAUUGGAGGUUCAACCCAAACAUUCCACAGUUCUGCAGUCUUUAAGGUCUCCUCCAACCUAGCACAUGCCAUGAUUCCAUAAUUGUUAAGGUCCUUCCAACCCAACCAUCCCAUGAUUCCAUAAUCGUUAAGGUCCUUCCAACCCGACCAUUCCAUGAUCUUUAAGGUCCUUCCAACACAACCAUUCCAUGACUCCACGAUCUUUAAGGUCCCUCCUAACCCAACCUUUCCACAGUUUCAUGAUCAUUAAGGUCCUUCCAGUUCAAACAUUCCACAAUUCCAUAAUCUUUAGGGUCUUUCCAACUCAACCAUCCCACGAGUCCAUGAUCUUUAAGGUCUUUCCAACCCAACCAUUCCAUGACUCCAUGAUCUUUAAGGUCUUUCCAACCCAACCAUUCCAUGACUCCAUGAUCUUUAAGGUCUUUCCAGCCCAACCAUUCCAUGAUCCCAUAAUCUUUAAGGUCCCUCCCAACACAACCAUUCCACGGUUUCGUGAUUCUACGAUUCCUCUCCUCCCUGCUUCCAGUUGCACAGGAGACUCCCAAAAAAUGACACAGGGAUCAUCAGUGGGACAAAACAACUCCGUCCACCAACAUACCAAACUGAUCAUUCAUCUCAAACGCAGUGCAAGAACCUGGUUCAAGUUCUUCCAAUCUCCAGAUCUCCAAGCAGCUCCACACCAACCACUGUUUGCUUCCUACCACAUCAAACCACCUCCUCCUACCCCAUCCUGCUUAAUUCAGUUCCCAGACCGUUGGCUACCACUCCAUUCCAUCUCAUUGCAUGGAGCCAUGCCUUCCCCAUAAUAAAACCUUACAUCCCACCAUUACAGGGAGCUGAGUUACACAAGCCUGCUCCAACCUGUUCCUCAAAACACCCCUCUGAGGGCAAAUUCCUCCCGGGAGGGAUGCAAGCAGUGUUUUGCCCUGAGAUAAAUGCAGUGGAGCCUAAGGACAGGGGUUGUCUGCAAUUGUCUACCAAAUACUCAGCAACAACCUCUGAAUACAGGUCAACAUAAUGAGGAUGUGGAUGCAACAGCAGAGAAAAACAAGGAAAAGUUCAGGUUUAAGAGAUUUGGAAGCCAUCAGGAUGUACAACAACAGGGACCCCCAAAACUUCACCACUGAAGGCUCCGCACCGCGCUGAUGUUACAUCUCCAGGAUUCCACCAGGAUUUUAUCACAUUUAACACAACCUAGGACUGUCUUGCUGAGGAUCCAGUGAAGAUCUGAGGAUGUUCUUUUCACAUUUUCUCUCUGUUUUUCCAACCCCCACACCCAGGACCUUCCCUUUAACUCACAUCAGUCAAACAGCUCGCCCUAAAACUGGCAGAAAUUAACAGUUUUUCCCCGGGAUCAGCAGCCAGCAGUGAUCUCUCACCUGAAAGACACAACAGGGCACCAGCAGCACGAAGAAGAUGGAAAGAAGCUCGUGUUUGCCCCAUAUUAAAGGCUCCACGAGGUUCUGAAGCACGAAAACAUCUUUUUCCCUACAGGAUACGGUGGGAACAGAAGCAGAGAGAACAACGGGGGUGGGAGGAAGAAGAGGA